UGAAAUUCGAGGAUCGGCUUCACAAAUUAAAGCAAAAUUCAGCAACAAAAUAACCAUCCAAUUUACAAGUGGAAAAUUUGAGCUGGAUAUAUUCAUCUCAAUUUUCAUGAGCAAGCUGCUACUGCAUACGAACAAACAAAAUUGAUCACACGAAUGGAGAAGCUGAAUGACUCCUCGUUCGUCUUGCUCUAUGAGAUUUAUUUUAGUUCAAAACUUCAGUUUUUGAUUAAUUCACAAGAAAACAGAAAUAUGUUAGUUAGAAAUGGGAAGAGGAGAUGAAGAAAUUUUAUUUAUUUAUUUUUGACAAGUAUAGUUCAAA
rnacentral:misc_RNA from 1 species